rnacentral:rRNA from 1 species
GAUGAACGCUGGCGGCGUGCCUAAUACAUGCAAGUAGAACGCUGAAGCUUGGUGCUUGCACCGAGCGGAUGAGUUGCGAACGGGUGAGUAACGCGUAGGUAACCUGCCUCUUGGCGGGGGAUAACUAUUGGAAACGAUAGCUAAUACCGCAUAAAAGUCGAUAUCGCAUGAUGUUGAUUUGAAAGGUGCAAUUGCAUCACUAAGAGAUGGACCUGCGUUGUAUUAGCUAGUUGGUGAGGUAACGGCUCACCAAGGCGACGAUACAUAGCCGACCUGAGAGGGUGAUCGGCCACACUGGGACUGAGACACGGCCCAGACUCCUACGGGAGGCAGCAGUAGGGAAUCUUCGGCAAUGGGGGCAACCCUGACCGAGCAACGCCGCGUGAGUGAAGAAGGUUUUCGGAUCGUAAAGCUCUGUUGUAAGAGAAGAACGAGUGUGAGAGUGGAAAGUUCACACUGUGACGGUAACUACCAGAA